CAUUAGAUGACUGAAAGAUAAGUAAUGG
rnacentral:tRNA from 2 species